rnacentral:rRNA from 1 species
GAUGAACGCUGGCGGCGUGCCUAACACAUGCAAGUCGAACGAAGCACCUUACCUGAUUCUUCGGAUGAAAGUUUGGUGACUGAGUGGCGGACGGGUGAGUAACGCGUGGGUAACCUGCCCUGUACAGGGGGAUAACAGCUGGAAACAGCUGCUAAUACCGCAUAAGCGCACGAGGAGACAUCUCCUUGUGUGAAAAACUCCGGUGGUACAGGAUGGGCCCGCGUCUGAUUAGCUGGUUGGCAGGGUAACGGCCUACCAAGGCAACGAUCAGUAGCCGGUCUGAGAGGAUGAACGGCCAAAUUGGAAAUGGGCACCGGUCCAAACCCCCACGGGGGGCAGCAGGGGGGAAUAUUGCACAAUGGGGGAAACCCUGAUGCAGCAACGCCGGGUGAGGGAAGAAGUAUUUCGGUAUGUAAAGUUCUAUCAGCAGGGAAAAUAAUGCCGGUACCGGACUAAGAAGCCCCGGCUAAAUCCGG